rnacentral:rRNA from 1 species
UAAGGAAUAUUGGUCAAUGGACGCAAGUCUGAACCAGCCAUGCCGCGUGGAGGAUGAAGGUCCUCUGGAUUGUAAACUUCUUUUAUUUGGGAAGAAACCCACGAUUUCUAUUGUGGUUGACGGUACCAGAUGAAUAAGCACCGGCUAACUCCGUGCCAGCAGCCGCGGUAAUACGGAGGGUGCAAGCGUUAUCCGGAUUCACUGGGUUUAAAGGGUGCGUAGGCGGGCAGGUAAGUCAGUGGUGAAAUCCCCGAGCUUAACUUGGGAACUGCCGUUGAUACUAUCUGUCUUGAUACUAUGGAGUAAGCGGAAUAUGUCAUGUAGCGGUGAAAUGCUUAGAUAUGACAUAGAACACCAAUUGCGUAAGGCAGCUUGCUACACAGUUAUUGACGCUGAGGCACGAAAGUGUGGGGAUCAAACAGGAUUAGAUACCCUGGUAGUCCACGCCCUAAACGAU